rnacentral:rRNA from 1 species
AACUCAAAGGAAUUGACGGGGGCCUACAACUAGUGGUGGAGCAUGUGGUUUAAUGCGAUGAUCCGCGCAAAACCUUACCAACCUUUGACAUAUAUUAAAAAAGUUUUAUUUGUAGUAAUGAUUAAAUAAAUCUUUUAAAUUUACAGGUGUUGCACGACUGCCGUCAGCUCGUGUCGUGAGAUGUUUGGUUCAUUCCUUUAACGAGCGCAACUCUUAUCUUUUAACUUUACUGAUUUUAUGUUUACAUAAAAAGCUUUAAAGAUACGGUCAAUGACAAAUUGAAGGAAGGUAAGAAUUAAGUCAAGUCAAGGUGGCCCUUAUAGGUUGGGCUACACACGUGCUACAAAGGCGGUGACAGAGGG